rnacentral:lncRNA from 1 species
GUGAGUCUCAUGAGAUCUGUUGGUUUUAUAAGCAUCUGGCAUUUCCCCUGCUUGCACUCACUCUGUCGUGCCACCCUGUGAGGAAGAUGCCUGCUUCUUCUUCACCUUCUGCCAUGACUCUCAAGGGGCCCUUUGUUGGUGGCUGCCAGUUUCACUUCCUGACCACCUGUCCAAGAGUCUCAGAGUCCAUGAAACAGCAACAGGAAGGUGAACAUCAAGAUACAUGCUGCUCUGGGAAGGGAAUGACCUUGCGUGAAGUGGCUGAAGCUGACCCUGAAGGAGCUGACAGCUGGAGGCUCUGUGCUCACUGUAGUCCGUUCAUCUGGGUAGCAGGUCUUCCUUGAAAGGGGAUCAAGGUGGGUGCAGCCCUGCAGCCCUGCACCACAGAGCCUGGCUUGGAAGGUAUCCUUCUGCAGUUUGGGGGAUCUGAAGAAAAGCUGAGCAGAUCAGAAAUGAACUCAGCAGAAUUAACAUUAGAAAGAGAGAAACAAGGACACCAAGAAGCAAUUUCACCCAGGAAAGCAUUCUGUUAUGAAAUCCAAGCUCUCUUUACAUGAAGACUCAGCCUGCAGACAGCUCCCUACACAUGCACCCCACAGGGAAGGCUGCUUGUCACCAGCAACCAUCUCCAUCCACAUUCCCCCCGCCCUGCCCCCACGAGAAGCCUGCCUUCAGUUGUCCCAAUUACAGGGAAGCCUGCUGAGGAAACAGAACUGUCUGAAUGCAAAGGAAAUUUAGCUCUUAUGAAUAUGAACUCUCAACCAAGAAUCACCAGACGUUUAAGGAAAACCAAGAACACAAAAGAGAAAGAUCAAGAUUAAAAAAACAGCUGGGCGUGGUGGCUCUUGCCUGUAAUCCCAGCACUUUGGGAGGCUGAGGCGGGAGGAUCGCUUGAGCAUAGGAGUUCGAGACUAACCUGGACAAUAUAGUGAGACCUCGUGUCUACAUAAAAUUUAAAAAUUAAUUAGCUGGGCAUGGUGUUGUGCACCUGUAGACCCAACUACUCAGGAGGCUGAGGUGGGAGGAUCCUUUGAGCCUGAGAUGUUGACGGUGCAGUGAGCUGUGAUAGCUAAAUGAGAUCACUCUGUAAAACAAACAAACAACAACAAUAAAACCAGAGCCAUCUUCUGAAAAAACAGAAAUCAUUGAGAAAUAAUAAAAGAACUUAAAAGUUCUAAUAUCCUUAGAAACAGGUGGAUAUUGUUUCUAUUUUUACAAAGUACAAGAAAAGAAAAAAAGAACAAGCAUUAGUGAAAAAAGGAAUCCCUAGAAACUAAAAAUGUGUUUAUACAAUGGAAAAAAGAUAUCAUAGAACUAACAAAGAAAUGGAAAAGCCAAGGUUAAAGACCAAAGUUGGCAAAUAAAUCAAGGACAUCUCCCAUAAUGAAAAACAAAAGCUAAAGAGAGCAUCUUAUCAACAGUAGAAUGGACAUAAAUUUGAAUGUAUUUAUGUGUGGACUAUUAUACAGCAAUGAGAAUAAGCAUAUUAGAACUAUACACAACAACAUGGAUGAAUCUCAUGAGCAUGAAGUUAGGGAACUUAAGAAGCCAGCUACAAAGAGCACAUGCUGUGUUAUUUCAUGUACAUAAAGUUCAAAAACAGGCAGCACUAACCUAUGGCAUUAAAAGCCAAGAAAGUCAAAAGAUACCCUUGGGGUGGUGGUGACAGGAAGCAGCAUGAGGGUCCUUCUGUGUUGGUGACAUUCUCUUUCUUCAAGAGCUCGCUAUGUGGGUGGUUUGCUUUGUAAAAAUUCAGCAAUGUGUACAGUUGUGUACAUUUUUAAUGUAUACUUUUAUAUGUUUUAACCUUCAAAAAGUGAAACAAAUAUAAAACUUCAUGUGUUCAAAUUAACCAAUUUAUCCUUAAUGGUCUGGAUUUUUAUUAUAUUCAGAAAGUCCUUUCCUAGUCUGAGAUUACAAUUUUCUUUUUCCUGAUGCUGUUUAUUUUGUGAUUUACUAUCUUUUGUUGUUUAAAUUGUGUAUCCACGUAGAUUUCAUUUUAUAAAUCAUCAUUUUGAAAACUACUGCAUGUCUCACCAACAAAUGUGUAAUGAUGGAUUUAAUCGAUCCCUUAUUGUUAAAAGUAUAGGUCAUAUCCAGUUUUCACUAUUAGGAAAGUAAAAAAAAAGUGUACAGACAAAUGAGGAAUGAGGAGUUUAACAUUCAUCCAUUAAGAGUUUCAGAAAGAGGACAGAGAUAAUGGAGUGAGGAGAAAAAAAAGGCAAAUAGAGGCAAGUUCCCCAGAAGUGAAGUAAGACAGUAUUGUGUGUAAUGCCCUAAAUCACACUGAGCAGGAUGCUGAACAAAGAGAUCCACACUUAGAAGCAAAAUAGUUGCUAAGUGGAACAUUCUUAGAAUAAAAAGAAUGUCCCAAAAGUUUCUGUAAAUAUGAAGCAGGUUACCUGUGAUGCAGUAAGAAUCAGCUUGACAUCAGACUGUUCACUGGCAAGAGUAAAGAAAUAUCUUUUUUUGUUGGAAUAAAAUGACAAAUCUCAUGAAUGUGUCUCCAUCCAAACUUUCAGUUAAAGAUAUUUUUGAGAAAUCAAGGGCUCAAAAUAUUUACCACCCAUG